CCAUAAUUUGAUUUUUAGUUUUACGGAUCCGCCGACUCUAAAAAUUUGCAUUUCAAAAAAAAAAUAAAAUCGGAAUUUUUCAAUCCGCUCGUGUCAAACCUGUGUUUUAUAAAAGCAAAUCAGUCAGAAACGUAAAAAAACACACAUGUGCAGAAUGGUAGAAGAAGGUGAGCUGUCAACUUUGAUUUUAUCGAGAGUCUACCAAUUCUGAACCCUCCCCAUUGCAUGUCUCUCUCUAUUUUUUUAAUUGCUGUUUCUACCGAUUUCGAAAAAAUCCGGAUUUUUUACCUUCUUCGAUUUGUAAAAUACCGACAAGUCAAAAACAAAAAUGGCGGUCAUGCAGUGUUUACCGGUAGCUAAUAAUGCUUAUUGCCACUGAUAACAGGUGAUAAUCAAGGUGUCAACUGUGCUACCAGAUGUAAUUGCAGUUCUAAUUGCUCAUUAUCCUCAUAAAAAGUGUUUUUUAUCAAAGACAGAGAUACCAGAUGUGGAAAUUUUGCAAAAAAGGACGGUAAAUAACGAUAUGAAUUUACUUGAUACUUUGCUGCAAACAAGUUUAUAUGCGCCUAAAACAAAACAAUUCCUCCAUAAAUAAUACGGUGAUCAGGAAAGACAUGAACUACAGUACUUUAUUAUUAAUUUAAAGAGGAAAUGAAAGCAAGUACAUGGUAACUAAUAAAGAGUCUGCAGAGGGAACACCGCGGAUUAUGAGAUUCAGUGACUUAGCAAAUCCUACAUCAACACCAGCAUAUAAAAGCCCUUGAAACUGCAGAGCAACUUGACAGUACCUCUAGAAGACUUCUUCGAAUUUAUGUAGCUAAACAGGAUCUUUAUUAAAUCCAGGAAACAAUUCUCUUGCUCCUCAUAAUGAGAAAAAUCCAUUCAUCCAUCAGUUAAAAGCUGGAAACUCAGACCGUCUGCAGAAUAUUAUUAAUUCGUUUAAUUGCCAAGUUAAACUUCGAUAUUUACCCUGAAUAUUAUUCAAAUGACACUCAAAUGAAUGUGCAAACUAUACAGUGAAGAACAUAAUUAAAUUUUUAUAAUUUCAAAUAUUACAUGGUACUCAUAUUAAACAAUGUUUGAAUUAAAAGUUGUAAUUUUUAUAAAUAACAACAUUUAUACAUGUAAUGUGUAUUAAUAUUAAAAAAAACAUAUCUUGUAA